rnacentral:tRNA from 1 species
UCUAAUAUAGCAGAUAAGUGCAGUAGAUUUAAGCUCUACAUAUAAAAGUGAAAGUCUUUUUAUUAGAA